CAGUAGCCGCGGGAAUACGGAGGAUCCAAGCGUUAUCCGGAAUCAUUGGGUUUAAAGGGUCCGUAGGCGGUCUUGUAAGUCAGUGGUGAAAGCCCAUAGCUCAACGGUGGAACGGCCAUUGAUACUGCAGGACUUGAAUUAUUGGGAAGUAACUAGAAUAUGUAGUGUAGCGGUGAAAUGCUUAGAGAUUACAUGGAAUACCAAUUGCGAAGGCAGGUUACUACCAAUUGAUUGACGCUGAUGGACGAAAGCGUGGGUAGCGAACAGGAUUAGAUACCCGCGUAGUCCCUGUCUCUUAUAC
rnacentral:rRNA from 1 species